rnacentral:lncRNA from 1 species
GACCAACUAGUUUAUUAAAUGAUAAACCUAAAUGAGAAAGCUGAGAUAGAUGAAAAAAUGAUGAUGGAACCUCGCCUGUUAGGUUGUUACUGGAAAGGUCCAAAUAUGUUAGUUGGGUGAGGUUCCACAAAGAUAGAGGAAUCGUCCCAUCCAAAUUGCACCAUGAAAGGACUAAAUGAGUAAGAGACUUCAAUUGAUCAAUGGAAUAAGGAAUUUCACCUGAGAAAGAAGUGGAAGAGAGGUCCAAGUACCUUAGAGGCAUGCUCCAGUUGGACUUUGGAAGUUGACCAAUAAGGUGAUUAUCUGACAAAUCUAGUUUUUGAAGGUUGGGUAAAGAGAGGACGUCACUUGACAAAUUUCCUUGCAAUUCAGUGGAUCCUAGACUAAGAGAAACCAAAGAGGAUGACAAAUUCUUUAGCAUAGACAAAGAGCUCUCUUUGAUUGAGGACAUAUUCACAGUAUCAAGAUAAAGCUCCCUUAAAUUAGUAGCAUUAUGAAUGAGUUUCUUCCAUGUCAAUGGAUUGAGUUUCAAUCCCCUGCGGUACUCCAUGUCACUUCUAAGAUCAAGUGAUAUUAAUUUUGACAAAUGAGAGAUUGUGGAGGGAAUAUUACCACUGAGGUAUGAGUUUGACACAUUUAGAUGUGUGAGAUUCACUAAAUCACCAAUACCAACAUGCAAUGAAGAAGGGAAAAAAUCAUUAAAAGCCAAGUUGAGUUGUUGAAGAUGUUUAAGCUGGAAGAUAGUGCUAUUGGGAUGUANNNNNNNNNNNNNNNNNNNNNNNNNNNNNNNNNNNAGAAGUGAAUGGUAAAAGAAGGCAAUAGAAUAAAAAAGGAGGCCAUUUAGAGCAACUUGAUAUUAUUUCUUUUUUACCUGAUGAUGAUUUUGGAUAUACCAAUUGAUUACCCUCAAUUUAUUUAUAUAUAAGAAGCUUAACAUUGAUAUAAUUGAGUCUCGGCGUGCUUUUGUUUUGUAGCAAGGGAUGCUUUUCAUCGACCGUAUGGAGCACUUCAAUAGAAGGAGUUUUUGUGGUUGCAAUUAUACUUAUAGUGAUAGGAUAAUUGACAAUAACAUUAAUUCAUUAGUAUCCGUAGAAAUAUAUGGUGUAUUUUUAAGAUAAGUAAGACCAAGAUUUUUGAACCGUAUAUAAUACUCAAUUUGAAAUGUUUUUGAAUGUUCUAACUUUUUUUUAAUAAAUUUUAAAAGUUAAAUCAAAAGAAUACGGCUUUCAUAUUUUUUUUAAAAAAAUAAAACUUGGGGUACCUUAAAGGUUAGCGAUUACUUGUAUCUAAAUUUUAAUAUUUAUUUCUUUUAAGUAGUUUAGUGGUUAAAAAUUUCACUCUUAAAAUGAAUAAGUAAAAAGUAUAAAAUCCGAACGACUUCUACAUAUAUAAUAAAAUGUCUCUAUCAAUUGAGUUAAACUCAGAAUAACUUAUUUAUAUCCUUAAUAUGUGUCUUAAGAAAACUCUUGUUGCUAUAUUAUAAAUUCUUGUUUAGAAAAAUUACUUCAAAAAAUAUUUAAUAUACACAUCCACUUUNNNNNNNNNNNNNNNNNNNNNNNNNNNNNNNNNNNNNNNNNNNNNNNNNNNNNNNNNNNNNNNUAUUUUAAGACGAAUUCCUUACUCAUCUAAACUAGAAUCCGCGCCACUUAAGACGAAUUAAUUCUAAUUCGACUAUUUUAGUUUAACUAAUAUUCCUCUAGCUCAUUUUUUGCUCAUCUAAACUAUAUAACUUGCGCCACUUAAGACGAAUUAACUAUAAUUCGACUAUUUUAGUUCAACUAAAAUUUGUCGAACUCAUUCCUUCCUCAUCUAAACUGGAACUCGUGCCACUUAAGAUGAAUUAACUCUAAUUAGACUAUUUUAGUUUAACUAAUAUUCCUCUAACCCACUCCUUGCUCAUCUAAACUAUAUAACUCGUGUCACUUAAGAUGAAUUAACUAUAAUUCGACUAUUUUAGUUCAAAAAUUAUUCAUCAAACUCAUUCCUUGCUCGUCUAAAAUCGAACUCGCACCACUUAAGACGAAUUAACUCUAAUUCGACUAUUUUAGUUCAACUAAUAUUCGUCGAACUCAUUCCAUGGUCGUCUAAAAUCGAACUCGCCUCACAUAAGACGUCUUAACCCUAAUUCAACUAUUUGUGUGCUUACUAACAUUCUUCCUUAGGAAUGGCCAAAGAAAUGUUUUACCAAUUGACAAUAACAUUAAUCCAUUAGCAUCCAUAGAAAUGUUUUACCAAUUGGUGUAUUUUUAAGAUAAGUAAGACUAAGAUUUUUCAACGGUGUAUGUAAUACUCAAGUUGAAAUUUUGAAUGAUCUAACUUUAUUUGCAUGUGUUUAUGACAACAUAUUGUGUCCAAAAGUAGAGACUUGGUCUUCUUCAAUUCUACAUAAUGAUCAAGUUGGACCUUACUUAGUAGGAAAUUUACAGAGAGGAAAUUAGGAAAUUCGAUACUGACCUUAUUUAGUAUAUUGAUCAAGUUGGACUUCUUCAAUUGUACAUAGGCACCAUUUGGAUCGACUUGUUUUAAGCUUAUGUGAGCUUAUCUACCGAUAUAAGUCGUUAUAUUAACAAAAGUGCUUAUCACAAUUUCACAAGCUACUUAUGCCAUAUUUUAAUAUGCUCUCAGAAUAUGCUUAACAUGGAGCUUAUGAAAAAGGAUCCCGCUUUGAAUCCCGCAUGCUCCAUUUGGCACAAUAUUAACAUAUUUUUUAGAAUUUAUUUUUUGAAUCAAUCUUAAAGGUAUCUUUUUUACGGUUUUUUCUUUUUUUUUUUUACGCUUAUCUUUNNNNNNNNNNNNNNNNNNNNNNNNNNNNNNNNNNNNNNNNNNNNNNNNNNNNNNNNAAACACUUCAAUUUAUGUAAGUACUUUUUAACGAACAUAUCCAAACGUAAAUAGCUUAUUAAGCAUAAGAGCUUAUGAUGUAAGCUCUCGUAUUAGUUACUAAUUAACACAUCUACUUCAUUUAGACUCAUUAAAUAUUGUACAUGGUUAUGUUAAGUCCUCUAAUUUUUGUGCUAGGAUUUCUGAUUAUGGAGGGUCAGUAGAAAAGAGAGGGUUAGUUGGUUACAUGGAUACUGAAUUUUGGAAUGAAGGAAGGGGUNNNNNNNNNNNNNNNNNNNNNNNNNNNNNNNNNNNNNNNNNNNNNNNNNUUGGUGGGUGAUUUUGUUGGAACUUUUAUGUCAAGAGGAUAUGAGGUAGGACUGUUUGUGUAGUGAGAUUUAGUGAAGUUUUCAAUCCUAGGUUGAUGAUUCCUUUUGAUAGGUACCUGUGUGUCAGUAAUAUCGGUUUCGUGUUUGUUGUCCUGGUUCGUGUUUGUGCCGGUACUUCAUAGUGACACAUUACCUAUACAAUGAAUCUCCAUUUAUAAAAAGGCAAGGAAAAUAAAAACUUACUAUAUGAAGCAUUGUCUAACGGAGCAUUUUAGCAUACCUUACUUGAUGAGAUAAACACUUUUAUUAUGUUCAAAUACACUUAUAAAAAGCAUGUAUCUAUAAGUUUUCAAACUUAUUUCAAUAAGCUCAUCAAAAUAGCUUAUAAUUUUGGUUCAAAUUGAUUUCACUCUACCCUCUCGUUUGCACCAUCACACUAUGCUCAAUCAAUCCUCCUUAACAAACAAGACUCAAGUCAGUGUUUGUAAACAAACAAGUAACUUGUUAUAUCCAGUCGUCACUACUAAUAUUUUAAAAUGUUCUUCACACUACCAAAGUAUAAAGCAUGAACAAUAAGAAAACAAAACAAAACAAAAAAAAAAACACAUCAAUUUUGAAGUCCAAAUGCAAAAUCCCAUCACUCAUUACCAUAAGUCCAAAAGGUUAGUCCUGAUGUAGAAAAUAGCAACCUGUGUAUUUUUAUUCUCUCGUCGCUUUUAGCAAUCAAGUAAAAUGUUUUAGGACACACUUUGCUUUGAACGUGCCAAACUUCAAUUUGAAAGAAUUCCUCCACAGUGCAUAUAUCCAUCCAGUUUUCAAAGGUGNNNNNNNNNNNNNNNNNNNNNNNNNNNNNNNNNNNNNNNNNNNNNNNNNNNNNNNNNNNNNNNNNNNNNNNNNNNNNNNNNNNNNNNNNNNNNNNNNNNNNNNNNNNNNNNNNNNNNNNNNNNNNNNNNNNNNNNNNNNNUUUUGAAACAGUAAAUUUUAUUAGAAAGCCUCAACCAAAGCAUGAAAUAUGCCAAGCGAGGGAACAUGAUACAUAAGGGACAAAAUAAAAACAAGGAGCUAGAAACAAGCCUCCUGAAACACCAAAAAACACCAAAACUAAAGGGUACACCAAAACAAGCCUCUGCACACCAAAAGAAACCACAGCACACCACCUAAACGAGAUCCAUAGCUAGAGCACACUCCAUAGUCUUCAGGCCACCAAAGACAACAUCAACACAACCUACGAAGAUGCUACUAGACUCUAACUUCUGAUCUCGAAUCAAAAGUGAUCGGCCCAUCGGAGUCCAAGAAGCAGCUCCGCGAGCCAAAAUUGAUUGGUCAAAUGCAGCAUGAAGACCUUAAAGUUGAGUUGAAGUAAAAGACCAAGUUGGUGUUGGAGUUUAAUGAGAAGUACAUGGUUAAUGCAGCAUAGUUCUGUAAUAGAUAGAAGGUUUCUACAGGUAGCACAGUUGGUUUGGUUCACAAGUCACUCUUGUAAACAUUGCACAAUGAUUUCCUGGUUUCCUUUUGUAUAUAAAAAAUAUGCAAAGUAAGAAAAUUUUGGGAUGAAACUGAUAGGAGCAGUAUUCAGGUCAAAUUUUAACAAGUUUUUUUAUCUGUUCUUUUUGUGUUUCAAAUUUAGUAGUGUCUUGUCUUAUUUUUAAUAAUUGACAGUGAAAUCACUCAUUUAGGAGGGUGGGAGAGAGGGAGGGAUCGAGGUUUCUAUUUUCUAUGAUAUACGUGCACAUCCCAACUACGAGGAAAAAGAUCCUUUACGAUUGAACCACAUUAGAAUCACAUCCUUGAGUAAUCAAUUGCUCAACAACUUUAGAAUCACAUUCAUGUACUACCAUCAUCCAUUUCACGCACCAACACCUAUCCUAUCCAUUACAGAAUUUAAAAACAUCAAAUUGAUACAUAUAACUACUAAUUUAGAAAGUCAGAGCACAUUUUAGAAAGUAUAUGCAAUCAAAUCAUGAAAAUAACAUGAAAGCAAAUGAUCACUAAUUUUCUUAUUUGUAUAGCAACUUGAAAUAAAAAAAAACAUACUAAUUUUUAAAUAAAUAAUACAACAUUACACAAACAGAAAAGUUGAAAUUACAAACAAACGUAUCUAUAUUUUUUAAAAGACCAACAUCAAAUUAAUUCAUUGUUCUGUGAUUUGCACCGGAUCGGUUGUUUCUUCUCUUCAGUCUCAUAUUAAACAUAUGUUCAACAAGUCUUGCAAGCCAUUCUGGUUUCCCAAAGAAGAAGACAUUGUGUCCCAACAGCAAUCCAGAUAUUGCCCCACACGCAUAUCCUAUUGCUACUGCUUUCCAACCAAAUCCUGAUCCCUCUUCAUCUUCAGAUGUUGAAAGUGGUGACCGAUCUUCAUCAUUUUUGCAUGAUUUAGACAAUGGUAAUCCACAUAACAUUGUAUUUCCUUCAUAGGAUUCAUUUCCAAAUGUAUCAAACUGUUGACCUUUAGGUACGAUUCCCUCGAGAUGGUUUUGUGAAAGGUUCAAGAAUGAGAGAAAAUUCAGCUUUGUGAGAGCCAUAGGAAUCUCCCCCCUCAACUGGUUCCUUGAGAGGUCCAACCACUCCAAAUUUCUCAAAUAACUCAAUGAUUGUGGAAUGGUACCUGUGAUUCCAUUGUUUGAAAGGUUAAGGCCUUUGAGAAAUUUUAAAUCUCCAAUGAGUUGUGGAAUUUCUCCUUCAAACAUGUUAUUUGAUAAAUCAAUAGUUGUGAAAGUAAUCAAUAUCCUCGAUAGUUCCAUAGACAGACCUUUCAUUAUGACCACCACAGAAUCUUUAUAGUAACUGACACUACCCAUGUAUUGCAAACCAAUUUGACUAUCAUUCACAUUCAUCAUGAAUUUAAAGUUCUUAAUACAUGAUGUUGGGAAUGAGCCACUAAAAUUGUUGAUAGAGACAUCAAAAAUUCUCAACUUGAGAAAUGGAUGUUUGGUGGAGCAUGUGAUUGUACCAUAAAGUUUAUUUGAUCUUAAACUCAGUACUUGUAAAUCUGGUAGAAUUCCUAGCCAAUUGGGGAAUACAUCUUCUAUUAUGUUGUUACCAAGGUCCAAAACUUCAAGUUUUUUGCAAUGAGCCAAAGAGUGUGGUAAUGGUCCUUCCAAUUGAUUUCCAUUCAAUUUUAUAGUCUCGAAUCGAUUUUGUUUGGAAAAGUUUGUAGGGAUGCUUCCAUAGAGGUUAUUCAUUUGCAAAUCUAAUACAGAAAGAAUAGGAAGUGUUCCCAGACAUUGUGGGAUCAUGCCUGUUAAUUUGUUGUGUGCCAAAUUGAGCACCUCCAGAGAUGAUGCAUUGCAGAAUGAUGAAGAAAUAUCUCCUGUGAAGUUGUUAUUUGAGAGUAAAAAGUAGUAAAUGAGAUAGGGUGGAACUGGAAGAUCUCCUUGCAACUUGUUGAAACUAAGAUCAAUGUAAUAAAUGUAUUCCGAUGAGUUUAGGAGCUUAUGAAACCAUUUGGGAAUUUUCCCAUGAAUGUUAUUAUUGGAGAGAUCUAAUGAUUGGAGAUUAGGUAGUCGUGCCAAUAAUUUAGGAAAACUAUUGAUAUUACUAAAAGAUAAAUCUAACUGUUCAAGGUAAGGGGAUGAGAUGGAUUCAACUUUGCUAUCAAUGUUGAUAGAAAGAAGACUAUUGUGUGAAAGAUUGAGGAAAUUUAGUUUUUUAAAUUUUGAAAAUUGGUGAAAAUCCACAACACCACUCACAUUUGUUGAUGAAAAAGCUAAGUCGGUAAGAUUUUGGAAGUCAAAUAUUGAAUUUGGAAAAUGACCAUGUAGGUUGUUAUUAGAGAGAUAUAAAUAUUGCAGAGAAUAAGUUGUGAACUCACCAAUGAACCCUAUAAGGUGGUUGUUGUCGAGGUACAACUCUAACAACGAAGGCAAAUUAUAACACCAAUGCGGAAUUGUUCCGUUUAACAUGUUAAAACCUAAAUCCAAAUAGCUCAAUUUUGAAAGUUUUGUGAUUUCAUUUGGAAUUGGACCAACUAGAUUAUUAAAUGAUAAACCUAAAUGAGAAAGCUGAGAUAGAUGAAAAAAUGAUGAUGGAACUUGGCCUGUUAGGUUGUUAGUGGAAAGUUCUAAAUAUUCCAGUUUCAUUAAAUUUCCAUAAACAUUUGGGAUUUCUCCGUUAAGUUUAUUUCCAAAUAAAUCUAAAAAAGAAAGAUGAGGUAACUGAUAAAACAAUGAUGGCGGGAUCUCACCAUUAAGGUCAUUUCGUGAAAGGUCCAAAUGUGUUAGUUGGGUGAGGUUCCACAAAGAUAGAGGAAUCGUCCCAUCGAAAUUGCAUUCUUGAAGGAAUAAAUGAGUUAGAGACUUCAAUUGACCUAUGGAAUAAAGAAUU